GACGAACCGUGCUAACGUUAUUCGGAAUCACUGGGCAUAAAGGGCGCGUAGGCGGCUUUCUAAGUCAGGGGUGAAAUCCGGCAGCUCAACUGUCGCAGUGCCUUUGAUACUGAGAAGCUUGAGUCCGGGAGAGGUGAGUGGAACUGCGAGUGUAGAGGUGAAAUUCGUAGAUAUUCGCAAGAACACCAGUGGCGAAGGCGGCUCACUGGCCCGGUACUGACGCUGAGGUGCGAAAGCGUGGGGAGCAAACAGG
rnacentral:rRNA from 1 species